GGCAAGAUGGCCGAGCGGUCCAAGGCGCCAGGUUCAGGUCCUUCCUGGUCUCCGAAAGGGGGCGUGAGUUCGAAUCUCACUCUUGUCA
rnacentral:tRNA from 1 species